rnacentral:rRNA from 1 species
UACGUAGGAGACGAGCGUUGUCCGGAAUUACUGGGCGUAAAGCGCGUGUAGGCGGAUGAGCAAGUCUGCUGUGAAAGCUCCUGGCUUAACCGGGAGUGGUCGGUGGAAACUGCUCGUCUGGAGGACGGUAGAGGUAGGUAGAAUUCCCGGUGUAGUGGUGAAAUGCGUAGAGAUCGGGAGGAAUACCUGUGGCGAAGGCGGGUCUCUGGGCCGAUACUGGACGCUGAGGAGCGAAAGCGUGGGGAGCGAACAGG